CCUACGGGAGGCAGCAGUAGGGAAUUUUCGGCAAUGGGGGGAACCCUGACCGAGCAACGCCGCGUGAACGAAGAAGUUAUUCGUAAUGUAAAGUUCUUUUAACAGGGAAGAAAGAGAAAUUUGACGGUACCUGAAGAAUAUGCUUCGUCUAACUACGUGCCAGCAGCCGCGGUAAUACGUCGGGAUCGAGCGUUAUCCGGAAUUAUUGGGCGAAAAGGGUGCGUAGAUGGCAUAGUAAGUAUUUUGUAAAAAUGCUGGGCUAAACCCAGUAGGGCAAAAGAUACUGCAAAUCUAGAGUAUGACAGAGGCAAGUGGAACUACAGGUGUAGCGGUAAAAUGCGUAAAUAUAUGUAAGAACCCCAGUGGCGAAGGCGGCUUGCUGGGUCGAUACUGACAUUGAGGCACGAAAGCGUGGGGAGCAAACAGGAUUAGAUACCCCAGUAGUC
rnacentral:rRNA from 1 species